UCAGAUGGCUUCGGUAGUUCCAAUCUGCCUUUAUCGGCAGCUGGUUUGUUUUUAGCUUGUUAGCAGCAGCGGUAGCUAAUAAAAGCUGUCUGUUGGCUGCACAUAGUAAUAAGGAUCCAAUAGAUUAACAUUGUUCAACAGUGCAAAUGGCUUCAGAGCACCCUAACUUCAGGAGGUUCCCCAGCGGGAGCCUCAUCCUAAAGGCCACCACUGCGGCUCUGGGGUCCCAGAACGCAGCCCAGAGGGGGGCCCUGAGGGCCAAACCCGCCGAGGAGGUGGAGGC